GUGUCUAUAGCCUAGUGGUAAAAGGCAGAACUCUAGUAUGUGUCUUGGCUAUCAUGUUGAGGUUGUGGGUUUGAAUCCCACCAGAAACA